CAGAGCCAUCUGCACAGCCGCUCAGUGAAGUGUGUUUGGGGAAAUGAACCCCCAGCCCAGAAUGGGAGAGGUAGGGCAGUCCAAAAAAGCUGGAGGUAUAUGCUCUUUCCAUGGGAACUCCAUAGUUUGACUCUUAACACAGUCUUUCUUCAUGAAUCAGGGUUGUAUUGUCACAUAAUAUACAGGUCACCAAUUAAAUUUGAAUUUCAGCCAAAUAGUGAAUAUAUUUUUUGUGUGUGUUGAAAAAUAUGAUAACCCUACUCCAGAGCAAAUUUGGCAAUAUCUGGAACAUUCUGGUUUUCACAGCUGGUAAUGCCCCUGGCAUCCUGCAGCAAGAGAUCAGUCACGGGGCUUAAAACAUCCUGCACUGCCCAGGACUCUUCCCAUCCCAACCACAUUAUCAACAGGGCUAUCCAGCCCAGAAUGACAUGCAUUUUGAAGUGAACUGUCACAUGAGGUCAGGUGUUGAAUAUUCCACCUGUGGCAUUAAGUUGACAUCAAAAGGUUUUAGAUUUUGGAUUUGUGGAUUACUGAUGCUUAACCUGCAAUGGUAAAAUUGGAAAGUCUGCUGUCAUCUGAUGCUAAUGUACCCCAUGCCCACUAUGCCCCUUCUAGAUAGUCUUGUGUGCACAUCCUCUUCUUAAGUAACUGAUUGUCACUUCUUUUAAAUUUUUUAAUAUGCAUGUUUAGGGUUCAGCAGAAAUGUGGGGGCUGUAU
rnacentral:lncRNA from 1 species